GACGAACGCUGGCGGCGUGCUUAACACAUGCAAGUCGAACGGUGAUGCUCCAGCUUGCUGGAGUGGAUCAGUGGCGAACGGGUGAGUAACACGUGAGCAACCUGCCCCAGACUCUGGAAUAAGCGCUGGAAACGGCGUCUAAUACUGGAUACGAAACUGGCCCGCAUGGGCAUGGUUUGGAAAGUUUUUCGGUUUGGGAUGGGCUCGCGGCCUAUCAGCUUGUUGGUGAGGUAAUGGCUCACCAAGGCGACGACGGGUAGCCGGCCUGAGAGGGCGACCGGCCACACUGGGACUGAGACACAGCCCAGACUCCUACGGGAGGCAGCAGUGGGGAAUAUUGCACAAUGGGCGAAAGCCUGAUGCAGCGACGCCGCGUGAGGGAUGACGGCCUUCGGGUUGUAAACCUCUUUCAGCAGGGAAGAAGCGAAAGUGACGGUACCUGCAGAAGAAGCACCGGCUAACUACGUG
rnacentral:rRNA from 1 species